ACUCAAAGGAAUAGACGGGGAGGCGCACAAGCAGUGGAGCGUGUGGUUUAAUUGGAUACAAAGCCAAAAACCUCACCUGGGUUUGACAUGUACUUGCUAAUCCCUGGAAACAGGGACUCCUUCGAGGGUAGUACACAGAUGCUGCAUGGCUGUCGUCAGCUCGUGGCGUGAGCUGUACCGUUAAGUCGGGUAACGAGCGCAACCCGCACCGUAUGUUAAAUAGUUCAUACGGAACUGCCCCUUUUUAAGGGGAGGAAGGCGCGGAUGAGGUCAAGUCAGCACGGCUCUUACACCCAGGGCUACACACACCCUACAAUGGCGAAUAACAACGAGUUGCAAACCGGUAACGGCAAGCUAACCUCUGAAAUUUCGCCUCAGUUCAGAUCGAGGGCUGCAAUUCGCCCUCGUGAAGUCGGAAUUGCUAGUAAUCGCGAAUCAGCAGGUCGCGGUGAAUACGUUCUCGCCUCUUGUACACACCGCCCGU
rnacentral:rRNA from 1 species